UAGGAGUAGUUCGGUCGUUAAGUCCGCUAACGAGCGCAACCCUCGUCGUAUGUUAUAUGUGUCAUACGAGACUGCCGGUAAAAAGCCGGAGGAAGGUGAGGAUGAUGUCAAGUCAGCAUGACCUUUAUAUCCAGGGCUACACACACGCUACAAUGGUCUGUACAAUGGGUAGCCAAGCCGCGAGGCGGAGCCAAUCCUGAAAGCAGGCCUCAGUUCAGAUUGCAGUCUGCAACUCGACUGCAUGAAGCCGGAGUUGCUAGUAACCGCAGGUCAGCAAUACUGCGGUGAAUACGUUCCCGGGUCUU
rnacentral:rRNA from 1 species